rnacentral:rRNA from 1 species
GACGAACGCUGGCGGCGUGCUUAACACAUGCAAGUCGAACGGAAAGGCCCUGCUUUUGUGGGGUGCUCGAGUGGCGAACGGGUGAGUAACACGUGAGUAACCUGCCCUUGACUUUGGGAUAACUUCAGGAAACUGGGGCUAAUACCGGAUAGGAGCUCCUGCUGCAUGGUGGGGGUUGGAAAGUUUCGGCGGUUGGGGAUGGACUGGCGGCUUAUCAGCUUGUUGGUGGGGUAGUGGCUUACCAAGGCUUUGACGGGUAGCCGGCCUGAGAGGGUGACCGGCCACAUUGGGACUGAGAUACGGACCAGACUCCUACGGGAGGCAGCAGUCGGGAAUCUUGCACAAUGGGCGGAAGCCUGAUGCAGCAACGCCGCGUGCGGGAUGACGGCCUUCGGGUUGUAAACCGCUUUCGCCUGUGACGAAGCGUGAGUGACGGUAAUGGGUAAAGAAGCACCGGCUAACUACGUG